GACGAACGCUGGCGGCGUGCUUAACACAUGCAAGUCGAACGGAAAGGCCCUGCUUUUGUGGGGUGCUCGAGUGGCGAACGGGUGAGUAACACGUGAGUAACCUGCCCUUGACUUUGGGAUAACUUCAGGAAACUGGGGCUAAUACCGGAUAGGAGCUCCUGCUGCAUGGUGGGGGUUGGAAAGUUUCGGCGGUUGGGGAUGGACUCGCGGCUUAUCAGCUUGUUGGUGGGGUAGUGGCUUACCAAGGCUUUGACGGGUAGCCGGGCUGGGAGGGUGACAGGCCACACUGGGACUGAGAUACGGCCCAGACUCCUCCGGGAGGCAGCAGUGGGGAAUAUUGCACAAUGGGCGGAAGCCUGAUGCAGCAACGCCGCGUGCGGGAUGACGGCCUUCGGGUUGUAAACCGCUUUCGCCUGUGACGAAGCGUGAGUGACGGUAAUGGGUAAAGAAGCACCGGCUAACUACGUG
rnacentral:rRNA from 1 species